UGUGCCAUACGAGUGGAUCCUGGAGAAUGUCGUAGAAGAACCGAUGACAAUUACAUCAAAAAUGAUUUCGUUUGGAGGUGAAAAAGUAUUCCGUGUUGGGUUGAAGAACUACGCCGAAUAUGCCAUUUUGUUUUUCGUGGAAAUUUAUCUCGUAAAAAUCGGAAUGGAAGUGGAAGACGUCAAAUACGGAAUUCAAGGAACUUCAGAAUUCUAUUGUUAUCGACUGUGUGAUCGACUUGCCAAGUCGCAAUUGUGGGCUGCUUUAGAAAAUCAACAGAAUCUGGCGGACGUUGAAUUUGUCGUGAAA